UGGUACCGUCGGCACCCUUAAAAAAGGUGGUUUCUUCCCANAUAAAAGAAGUUUACAACGCANAACGCCUUCAUCCUUCACGCGGCAUGGCUGGUUCAGACUUGCGUCCAUUGACCAAUAUUCCUCACUGCUGCCUCCCGUA
rnacentral:rRNA from 1 species